rnacentral:lncRNA from 1 species
AUGAGUUUCCCCCUCCUCUCAUCUUUUGUAGCUGUCUCUGUGUUACCUUUUCUUUGCAGAGGUUGGAUCAGAAAAUGCCUUAUGUUAUUUCAUGGGGAAUUCCCAAAGAACAGCCAGCUCCCGUUGGUUGCUAAGAGACAGCUCUACAGCUGGGAUUUGGCUGCAAAAUUUGAACAAAAAAAGAAGAGCACAAAUGGGCUUGCCAGAUUUUGGUAUCAGGAUAGUGCUGGCCUCAAACUGAAUAAAGAGUCAAGACCCAUCAAUGUACUGUAUUCAGAAGACUGAUCUCACAUGCAAAGACAAACAUAGGCUCAAAAUAAAGGGAUGGAGGUGCCAGGUGCGGCGUUUCAUGCUUAUAAUCUGAGCACUUUGGGGGCUCAAGGCAGAAGGAUCACCUGAGUUUGGAAAUUCAAGACCAGCCUGAUCAAUAUAAAGAAACCCCAUCUCAACCAAAAAUACAAAAAAAAAAAAAAAAUUCCCUGGGCAUGAUGGUGCAUGCCUGUUGUCCCAGCUACUUGGGAGGCUGAGGCAGAAGAAUCACUUGAACCCAGGAGGCAGAGGUUACAGUGAGUCAAGAUCACAUCAUUGCACUCCAGCCUGGCAACAAGAGCCAAACUCUGUCUCAAAAGCAAAAAUAAUAAAAAGGAAUGGAGGAACAUUUACCAAGCAAAUGGAAAGCAAAAAACGUAGGGGUUGCAACCCUAGUGUCUGAAAAAACAGACUUUAAACCAACAAGGAACAAAAAAGACAAAGAAGGGCAUUACAUAAUGAUAAAGGAAUCAGCACAAUAAGAAGAGCUAACUAUCCUCAAUAUAUAUGUACCUAAUACAGGAGCACCCAGCUUCAUAAGGCAAGUUCUUAGAGACCUACAAAGAGACUUAGACUCCCACAUGAUAAUAAUAGGAGACUUUAACACCCCACUGUGUCAAUAUUAGACAGAUCCAUGAGACAGAAAAUUAGCAAGGUUAUUCAUGACUUGAACUCAGUUCUGGACCGAGUAGACCUAAUAGACAUCUACAGAACUCUUCACACCAAAUCAACAGAAUAAACAUUCUUCUCAUCACCACAUCACGAUUAUUCUAAAAUUUACCACCUAAUUGUAAAUAAGACAC